GUUAGCUGUAAUAUCGAACUCGACAGUAGCUUCCUCUGUCAUGUCGGAGAUCUCAGGAGACGACUGGGUAUUUUGUGUCAAGAAGAGGUUAACCUCCCACUUAACAAGAUAAACAUCAAAUUCAUAGGAGUGCCAAACAGGGACCGUUUAAUCGAGAGGACUUCUCUGAUGACAGAGAUGUGGAAAAGACUACGUCCUUCUCUGGAAAACUACAAGGAUAAAAUACCCACCUUUUUCGGGAAAAAGUCCAUCAUAUGCGAAAGCGAAAGGUAAAUUUUUAGUUUUAAACUAAUUACAACACUACAAAUCUAUUACAUUUAUUGAGGACCCCCAGUGGGAACUAAUGCCUCGGUAAAUGUAACGACCAUUACAGGUUGUAUGUCAAUGUAAAUGGUUGUUGCACGAUAAAGUUAUCUUAAAGACAUCCUAAGGACUAUCAGACAUCGGUUUUUAAAGCAGUUUACUCCCAUCUAUCACCUAAAGAUUAUCAGACAUCACUUAUCCUUAUCCUCCGGAGUGCUACAAAGGAAACUUACUCACGUGCGAAAGACGAACUCUAAGAAUUGGAGAAUAACGGCAGUAGACAGCAGCUAACUUCCCCUGUACUCAACGACAUUGAACAAUAGACAUGAAAUGACUCGCUGACCCCCUACAAAGUACUUGUGCUCGGAGGCAGAAUUUGGCAUCGUUUGGGUCGAGAGAUUUCCAAGGGUAAUGAUACAGUUAAACUGUAUAAAAAUACCUCUCAAAAACAACCUUCUCCUGGUCGGCCAUGUCCCUCAUCCUGCACUUGACCCCUGCAGAGGUCACAAGAACAUCGGAGCACAAAUGAGCGAGAAACGGGGAAGCCUUAGCUUCCGGGUCAAGGACUGCAUCACUAGCACCUACCUAUUGAACUUAUUGAUAGGUUUAAAAGUAGGCAUCUUCACGCAAUCUGCGGACCACCUCCUAGCAGCGAAAUACGGAUAUACCCUCCCUAUUACAUGCGUUCAACCGGCACCCGAACCACACGCUGUUUCUUAGACACAACUUCCCACUUAAAUCAGUGUCCUGUCGCAUCAACUGGCAUCGGCAAGUGGCGACACUGUGUAGACUCAACCCUGAGCUUGAUCAGAAUCUUCAGUCACAAACCUGACACCGUUUCGGGGCUUGCAAUACGGUUUUCUGUCAGGCUCCCAGCAGUUUCUUUUGGACCACCAUCUCAUCUGACAAUCACCCGAGGAUACCUGCCAGAGCUCGCAAUUUACGACGAGUUAGCUUAUGGCACCUCUGGCUGUUAAGUGAAGUCAUAAAGCUCAAACAGCUCUCAUCUCCCAUUCUCUCUUCCUAGACAGCAGACCUGGGAGAAACUCCUUCUAGCCGGACGUCACGCGUGAUGUACGAGAAACUACGGACAGGGUACUCCUACUUGCGUGCGAAAGACAAAGGCAGCAAGAAUCGAAGAACAGAACCCCGACCACACUGCUUGUGAGAAAUGAGCAGCUCUUGAUCUAGGACAAAAAACUUUCUUCUGUUUAAUAUCUAAAACGUGUUACGUGUGAUAUUACACCAACUUUUGAUUAAUAAUACGAAACUUUAUACCUUAUAAAGUAUGAUAUUUAAACACGAAAAUUUACAUUCUGAAAUUGGUAUAGUGUUCCUUUAACUGUUCCUUCAACUUUCAUCGUAGCUUUUUUCAAAAUAUUCUUCAGUGCCAUCAACAAACAGAUUUUUUCAUUUGACUGAACUGUGCCAUAUUUGAUAUUGCCUCUGUAUUUUAUAGGGAAAAUUUUUUAAAUCUUGCAAGUUGAUGUAAUUAAGUUUUAAGUUAACGUAUUAUAGAUAUGUUAACACUAGUUUAUGUUUCAGUAUUUAAAUUGUUUCCAUUUAUAGUUUAACCGAUCCCUGUUGUAGAGUUAUCAGAUCUUUACUUAGGAUAAACAAUAUAAUAUGAAGUUCGAUAAUAAUAUUAAUAAA